rnacentral:rRNA from 1 species
UGGGGAAUUCUGGACAAUGGGGGAAACCCUGAUCCAGCCAUCCUGCGUGUGCGAUGAAGGCCUUCGGGUUGUAAAGCACUUUUGGCAGGAAAGAAACGUCAUGGGUUAAUACCCCGUGAAACUGACGGUACCUGCAGAAUAAGCACCGGCUAACUACGUGCAAGCAGCCGCGGUAAUACGUAGGGUGCAAGCGUUAAUCGGAAUUACUGAGCGUAAAGCGUGCGCAGGCGGUUCGGAAAGAAAGAUGUGAAAUCCCAGAGCUCAACUUUGGAACUGCAUUUUUAACUACCGGGCUAGAGUGUGUCAGAGGGAGGUGGAAUUCCGCGUGUAGCAGUAAAAUGCGUAAAUAUGCAGAAGAACACCGAUGGAGAAGGCAGCCUCCUGAUAUAACACUGACGCUCAUGCACGAAAGCGUGGGGAGCAAACAGG